CAAGUCGAACGCGAAAGCCUCCUUCGGGGGGCAAGUAGAGUGGCGCACGGGUGAGUAACACGUAGGUAAUCUACCUUUGGAUUGGGAAUAACCACCGGAAACGGUGGCUAAUACCGAAUAAUGCAGCGGCACCUAAUGGUGACAGUUGUUAAAGCGGGGGAUCGCAAGACCUCGCGUCUAAAGAGGAGCCUGCGGCGGAUUAGCUAGUUGGUAAGGUAACGGCUUACCAAGGCGAUGAUCCGUAGCCGGCCUGAGGGGGCGGUCGGCCACACUGACACUGACAUACGGGUCAGACUCCUACGGGAGGCAGCAGUCGGGAAUUUUGGGCAAUGGGCGAAAGCCUGACCCAGCAACGCCGCGUGAAGGAUGAAAUCCUUCGGGAUGUAAACUUCGCAAGAACGGGAAGAAUAAGUAAGAGUUAAUAUCUCUUACGAUGACGGUACUGUUUGUAAGCUCCGGCUAACUCCGUGCCAGCAGCCGCGGUAAUACGGGGGGAGCAAGCGUUGUUCGGAUUUACUGGGCGUAAAGGGCGCGUAGGCGGCCACCGCAAGUCGACUGCGAAAUCUCCGGGCUUAACCCGGAAAGGUCAGCCGAUACUGCGGGGCUAGAGUGCAGAAGGGGCAACUGGAAUUCUCGGUGUAGCGGUGAAAUGCGUAGAUAUCGAGAGGAACACCUGCGGCGAAGGCGGGUUGCUGGGCUGACACUGACGCUGAGGCGCGAAAGCUAGGGGAGCGAACGGGAUUAGAUACCCCGGUAGUCCUAGCCUUAAACGAUGAAUGCUUGGUGUCUGGGGUUA
rnacentral:rRNA from 1 species